CCCUUAGAUGUCCUGGGCCGCACGCGCGUUACACUGAUGCAUUCAACGAGCUUAUAACCUUGGCCGAGAGGCCUGGGCAAUCUUGUUAACGUGCAUCGUGAUAGGGAUAGAUUAUUGAAAUUAUUAAUCUUGAACGAGGAAUUCCUAGUAAACGCAGAUCAUCAAUCUGCAUUGAUUACGUCCCUGCCCUUUGUACACACCGCCCGUCGCACCUACCGAUUGAAUGAUCCGAUGAAUACCAUGGAUUGAGAGUACGAAUAGGUUCGCUUAUUUCUGCUGCUCGAGAAGUGGAGUAAAUCUUAUCAUUUAGAGGAAGGAGAAGUCGUAACA
rnacentral:rRNA from 1 species